AUGUGAGAGAUGGUAAUAGAGAAAAUCUGUUUGUGAGAAGAAAUAUUUUAAUUCAACUUAUCACAAGGAAAUGGUUUCUUUCUUGUAAAUAUAAGAUUAAAAAGAUAAAGUAAAUGUAAUUUGUGUCCAUAGUCUACUCUUAUCGUGUUUUCAUACUGAGCUCAUGUAAUUUGCACAAUCUGCAAACAUUCUGGGUGUUGGUGCUAUGUUGGAAGGGUCUUGUAGAUCAUUUGUCAAAAUUGAUAGAAUUCACUCAUCCACUCCACACCACUUCCAUGCCCUCCUUUUAUUAUUAUUAACUCAGCAACCUGAUUUUCUCAUUCUCUCUCUUAAUACAUGUAUGAUAUUUUAGAAAAGUGAGUAUUUUGAAUGUAAUGUUCUAUUUGUUCCAAGCACAUUGUUCAUUUGGAUUCAGUUGAAUUCCAAAAGAUUUA
rnacentral:misc_RNA from 1 species